CACAAAUUCCCCCACUAUCCUUUCAGAAAUGCGGUACAGCAACCCCUUUUCCCAGGUAUACCAUUCUCCCUCUAAUCCGGCCUGGUCGGAGAUCACCCUAUCCCUGUAUACUUUUAAUGUGGGGUCUAUCUGAACCUCAGCCUCAAAUUCAGUCGGGGUAUCCCAGGUAACAUGGGUCGUAGGAGGGUCCCAGUCUUUUACCUGAGCCUCAGAGUGCGUUGCUGGAGCCGUGGUGCGAGCCUGUUGCCUGGUGGUUACUGGGUGAGCCUCUUGGAGUGGAGCUUGAGGAAUUAAGGUGGAAGUCAUUCGACCCAGGUCGAUUUGUGCACAGUCAUGGAGGAUAAGCGAGCAGCAGAGGAAAGGCAGUAGGAAAGGAUGGAGAACCUUUCUGAUCGGCGGUUUCAGGCUUCAGGAUGCCCAGGAAGCGAGGCGCCAGGAGGCAGAAAUCGCCCGGCAGCAGAUGGAGCAGUUGGCUACCUUCAACCAGGCCUUCCUUGGUGUCCUUAGGCAGCUUGUUCAAGUGCUGUGAAGCAGUCGUAAUCCCAGGUCGCCGCCCAGGCAGUAGUGCAUUUCAGCCAGCACAGGACCUGU